rnacentral:lncRNA from 12 species
CGCAGGGUCGCAUCCCGCCGCAGGGGAGGCUGCAGGCCUAGUGCGCGGCCUCUGAUGGGGCGGGGUGAGGCGGAGCCAUUCUAGGAAGGAAGUCGGGAUCCCCAAACCCGGAGGUCCUGGGCAUAGGUUUUAGGGGGCUGCAGGAGAGCCCAGGCUACUAAACAGAGCACAGACGUCAAGAAACUUGGAACUUCCCCUCAGCGCUCCGGGACGCAGGCAGGGCGCUCAACGAGGGGAGGCGCCACCUACAGGACAGAGGAAGACCUGCACCCUGAUCUGGAAAAUUCGACCGCUGGGGGGGUCCGGAACCGACUGGGCACCGUGUGCCCCUCCUCCUCCUCGCCGUAGACCGUUCACCUCGGGGUUCCCGAUUUUUGAGACUCCCUUACUCAGCUGGAGAGAAAAUCGUUGCCAAGGCUCCAGGCCCAUGACGAAGACUUGGACUGAGAACUGGCCUCACCUGCCACCCCUCAGAACAUUCUGCAAUCUCUGACGUGGGCAGAUGGAGGCCUCGGCAGGCUCCGACACCGCCCGGCUGCUCAGCUAGAAGCUCUGUACACCCCUUUCUUCUGGAAACAAAAGAAUAAAAUUCCUGGGGAUCGACCA